UGCAGUCGAGCGAAUGGAUUAAGAGCUUGCUCUUAUGAAGUUAGCGGCGGACGGGUGAGUAACACGUGGGUAACCUGCCCAUAAGACUGGGAUAACUCCGGGAAACCGGGGCUAAUACCGGAUAACAUUUUGAACUGCAUGGUUCGAAAUUGAAAGGCGGCUUCGGCUGUCACUUAUGGAUGGACCCGCGUCGCAUUAGCUAGUUGGUGAGGUAACGGCUCACCAAGGCAACGAUGCGUAGCCGACCUGAGAGGGUGAUCGGCCACACUGGGACUGAGACACGGCCCAGACUCCUACGGGAGGCAGCAGUAGGGAAUCUUCCGCAAUGGACGAAAGUCUGACGGAGCAACGCCGCGUGAGUGAUGAAGGCUUUCGGGUCGUAAAACUCUGUUGUUAGGGAAGAACAAGUGCUAGUUGAAUAAGCUGGCACCUUGACGGUACCUAACCAGAAAGCCACGGCUAACUACGUGCCAGCAACCGCGGGAAUACGUAAGUGGCAAGCGUUAUCCGGAAUUAUUGGGCGUAAAGCGCGCGCAGGG
rnacentral:rRNA from 1 species